CCCUCCCUCCUCCCUCCCCUCCCUCCCUCCCUCCCUCCAUCUCUGUGACCUUUCUCUUCCACCUCCUUACCCGUCUCCCUCACACUCAGCAAGACAACACAUUUAGAUAACGUUAUAGCUGGCUAGAGCAUUACUAGAUUUGCUGACACUUUGAGCUAAUGUCCGAUGUGGACGGUCAGCACACUAGCCCAGCGUUCGGACUGGAGUCUGAGGGUCCGUUGCUUCUGCUGUAGCAUUAUCGUAUCAGGGAUAUGCGUGGAAUGAUCAGGGAUUGCUUCUAUCUCAUCCUACAUUGCCAUUUUGCCACCUGGCUGUUGUGAAUGGGAAUAGCCAUAGAAAUAGGUAGAGAGCCCACCUCCUAUCUAUAGCCAUGGCUUCUUCUGUGAUAGCAUGGGCAGUGCCAUUGCCACUCUAUCCAACUAUGUGGGAUCUCUAUGGGGAAAAGCCAGUCGAGUGACUUUUGUCAUAAUAAGCUACAGUAGAGGGAGGGAGGGAGGGAGAGAGGGAGAGAGGGAGAGAGGGAGGGAGGAGAGAGAGAGAGAGAGAGAGAGAGAGAGAGAGAGAGAGAGAGAGAGCGAGAGAGAGAGAGAGAGAGAGAGAGGUCUGCUGACCAGACAUAUAUGUGUGUCUGUCACAGUGGAAGCUGCUGAGGGGAGGAUGGCUCAUGAUAAUGGCUGGAUAGGAGUGAGUGGAAGGGCAUCAAACACAUGGAAACCAUGGAAACCAUGUAUUUGGUGUAUGUGAUACCGUUCCACUGAUUCCACUCCAGCCAUUCCCACAAGCCUGUCCUCCCCAAUUAAGAUGCCACCAACCUCCUGUGGUCUGUCACAAAAUGAGGUGUGUUGGUGUCAGUCAGUCACAAGGCAUUCACAUGGCUCGCUCACUUGUUUCAGGGAGGAGUUUCCAUUUCCUAGGUAAUCCCAAUCUUUACAUAACCUUUGACCUUUCAACUGAUGAGUUGGAACCAGGAAUGUCUGUCUGCUCCACAGAUCCUAACCCAGUGAUAAGAAGUGGUUGUAAAGACAUAUUUUCAAGCACUCUUCUUCACUGGGGAGGAUGUAGUUCUCACUGUAAGUUUACAACUGGUCCUGUAUUUACUUCUAUCUAUCUAUCACCCUGUCCAAGGUGUACAAAUUGUGUGAUCGCAUGAAAAGGCUGCAUGAGUUAUAUAGAAGGUGGAAUAUAUACUAUAGCUUUGACCAACCAUGAGAACUGUUGUUGACUAGCCCCUAUAUGAGACAUCCAACAGACUGAUGGAGGUGUUUGAUGGCUUGUCCUACUCUCUUUGUCUACAGAAAUCUAUUAUAUUUUAGAACACAACGCACUAGAACUCGUUGCAUCUGUGUGCAGUUACAGUGUUCUGCCACCGGAUGUCAGUGACGAGCCGCUCUGUUCUACUUGCUUUGGACGACCCUGGCCCUGUCUGAAUACCCAUUCUAGUGUACGUACUUAAACUGCGUAAUAUGUACUCAUCGUCGCGUACCAGUGAUAGAAAAAGUACUUAAUUGUCACACUUGAGUAAAAGUAUAAGGUACCUUAAUAGAAAAUGUGAAAAUCACUCAGUAAAAUACUACUUUUGUAAAAGUCUAAAAGUAUUUGGUUUUAAAUAUACUUAAGUACCAAAAGUAAAUGUAAUUGCUAAAAUAUAGUAAGUAUGAAAAGUAAAAGUCUAAAUAAUUUCAAAUUCCUUACAUUAAGCAAACCAGACGACACCAUUUAAAUGAUUUAUUUACAGAUAGUCAGGGGCACAUAGGCUGAGUGUAGGUGGAUUUUUCCAAAUUCAACAGACAUUCACGACAUUAACCAACCUGAUAAUAGCUCAUUUACCAUUUGAAUAAAUUCUCUAUACCAUGAAAAGAAUAGGAAUGGAGUCAGGCUGGUUACAGACAGACUAUCACAUUCCACGUCUAGUAUAUCCCAUCUGUCCUAUUUAAACAGGACUGAAGACAGAAACACAUUAUUUCUUCAAUUUCAACAUAUUUCUAGUGAAACCAAAGUGCCGUAACAUAAAUCAAUUCUAUCAAAUAGCCUAGUACACACAGCAACACUUGUAAUAUGUUCACAUCAAAAAGGCUACUGCACAGAAACACGUGGACAAAAUUCAGAACCGCUGAACAGCAACAUAAUGAACUAAAGCGCCGACCAAUAGGAACGAGAUCAGAAUGACUGCUAAGGCUUGAUCCGUAAAUUAAAUAAUGAAAUAGGUAGCCUAACCUACAGAUCUAAAACAAUCCCCAUCUUAAAAUCAAAAGGCCUGAUUAACAUAACAGCAAUAACGCAGCCACAUCCCGAGUCUCGGGUGCUGACUCGCUAUUUGGCAUCUUCCCAAUUAAGUAGCCUAGUUUUGUUGUUUGGCUACUUGAAGUGUACUUGGGCCUAUCACUGGCAGCUCUCCUCUUCUAAUGGAUUGUGGAAGUGUGCAUCGAAUUCUACUAGAUGAAGACCCGAAAUGGGACAAACAUCCUGGUAUUGAGCUCGCCUUAGGACACCUGCGUUACCGUUUGACAGGUGUACCGCCCCAGUCAAACUCCCCACCUGCCACUGUCCCCGGAGCGGGUCAACCAUACUCGAUUUUCAGACAAACGCACAUAGGCUACUAUAAAAUACAUUUUCACAUACUGAGAAUGCCUCAUGUGCGAUUAAGUAGUGUCCCGCUAUUUGUUGAUGUCUGUAGGUAACUCCUCCCCAUAUCUAACUGAUCAGCUGUUGUCAAAACCGAAAUGAGUAUGACAUCCUGGCACUUCGUUUUUCCAAAUGUCGCAUACUAUUAAACUUUUUUUCCACAAACGGUCUACUAUGGGUAUUCGGACAAAACCUCAUGUCUCUCCACAUCUCUGCUCUUUCUCCUGUACCAGUAGUGGGGGGUACUCUCUCCUGUACCAGUAUAGUGGGGAACUCUCUCUCCUGUACCAGUAGUGGGGGGAACUCUCUCCUGUACCAGUAGUGGGGGAACUCUCUCCUGUACCAGUAGUGGAGGGAACUUUCUCUCCUGUACCAGUAGUGGGGGAACUCUCUCCUGUACCAGUAGUGGAGGGAACUCUCUCCUGUACCAGUAGUGGAGGGAACUCUCUCUCCUGUACCAGUAGUGGGGAACUCUCUCUCCUGUACCAGUAGUGGAGGGAACUUUCUCUCCUGUACCAGUAGUGGAGGGAACUCUCUCUCCUUUACCAGUAGUGGGGAACUCUCUCUCCUGUACUAGUAGUGGGGGAACUCUCUCUCCUGUACCAGUAGUGGGGGUACUCUCUCCUGUACCAGUAGUGGGGCUACUCUCUCUCCUGUACCAGUAGUGGGGGUACUCUCUCCUGUACCAGUAGUGGAGGGAACUCUCUCUCCUGUACCAGUAGUGGGGGAACUCUCUCUCCUGUACCAGUAGUGGGGGAACUCUCUCCUGUACCAGUAGUGGGGGAACUCUCUCUCCUGUACCAGUAGUGGGGGAACUCUCUCCUGUACCAGUAGUGGGGGAACUCUCUCUCCUGUACCAGUAGUGGAGGGAACUCUCUCCUGUACCAGUAGUGGGGGUACUCUCUCCUGUACCAGUAGUGGAGGGAACUCUCUCCUGUACCAGUAGUGGAGGGAACUCUCUUCUGUACCAGUAGUGGGGGGAACUCUCUCUCCUGUACCAGUAGUGGGGGGAACUCUCUCUCCUGUACCAGUAGUGGAGGGAACUCUCUCCUGUACCAGUAGUGGGGGAACUCUCUCUCCUGUACCAGUAGUGGAGGGAACUCUCUCCUGUACCAGUAGUGGGGGGAACUCUCUCCUGUACUAGUAGUGGGGGGAACUCUCUCUCCUGUACCAGUAGUGGAGGGAACUCUCUCCUGUACCAGUAGUGGGGGGAACUCUCUCCUGUACCAGUAGUGAAGGGAACUCUCUCUCCCCUCCUCUCUCUUCUUCUUUUGUAGAAUGUUAAGGAAUAUAUUUUAAUGUUUUUAUUUAAGGAAGGUGUGCAUACUUUUAAAUGUAUUACUUUCAAUUCAAUUGAUUGUUUUUCUUUUUUUCCUGAAUAGAUAUGCAACACUGAAAGGUUAGAGGACAGCUUUGGCUUAUUGUUUUGACAGUCUGACAUUUUUAUAUCAUUUCAUGUAGGCUAUAUAGUGUUGCCUUGGCCUGUUAUUCUUACAAGCACACUGAUACACACACACACACACACACACACACACACACACACACACACACACACACACACACACACACACACACACACACACACACACACACACACACACACACACACAUGCAUGGGGUACAUGUGGUCUGUGACUACAGUGUGGUUGUGUGUGUGUGUGUGUAUGAGUGUAAGGAAUGUAUAAUGAUAGACCCAACCAGACUCUGGAGACACUAGAUGCGUCCCAAAAAGGAACCCCAGUCACUAUAUAGCUCCCUACGUUUGACCUGGACACAUAGUUCUUCCUAGUGCACUAUGUAGCAAAUAAGGUUCCUUUUAGGGACGUGGACACUAUCUGUGUUAUUUUCCACCAAUGUUAUUGUUUUAAUGAGGAGUCUAUUGUCUUCGUGUUCUUUUCGGAUGAUAAGUCUUCCUUUUGAAUAACCAUCCAUAUCACAUGGGAACACUACAGCUAAUGAUGUCAUCAAGGCCUGACUGCACUAUGGUGAUGAUGUCAUAAUGCUGAGUUCCGUCUCCGUUGGCUGUUCUAAUCUGUUCAUACAGCAUUAGCUUUUUUGUUACUAUACCGAUUCAGUUGUUGACUUCAAAUAAACGUGCAUUUGGGUUAA
ensembl:lncRNA